AUUGAACGCUGGCGGCAGGCUUAACACAUGCAAGUCGAGCGGGGAAAGGUAGCUUGCUACCUGACCUAGCGGCGGACGGGUGAGUAAUGCUUAGGAAUCUGCCUACUAGUGGGGGACAACAUCUCGAAAGGGAUGCUAAUAUCGCAUACGUCCUACGGGAGAAAGCAGGGGACCUUCGGGCCUUGCGCUAAUAGAUGAGCCUAAGUCGGAUGAGCUAGUUGGUGGGGUAAAGGCCUACCAAGGCGACGAUCUGUAGCGGGUCUGAGAGGAUGAUCCGCUACACUGGGACUGAGACACGGCCCAGACUCCUACGGGAGGCAGCAGUGGGGAAUAUUGGACAAUGGGGGGAACCCUGAUCCAGCCAUGCCGCGUGUGUGAAGAAGGCCUUUUGGUUGUAAAGCACUUUAAGCGAGGAGGAGGCUACCGAGAUUAAUACUCUUGGAUAGUGGACGUUACUCGCAGAAUAAGCACCGGCUAACUCUGUGCCAGCAGCCGCUGUAAGAC
rnacentral:rRNA from 1 species